rnacentral:rRNA from 1 species
UACGGGGGGUGCGAGCGUUAAUCGGAAUAACUGGGCGUAAAGGGCACGCAGGCGGACUGUUAAGUGAGAUGUGAAAGCCCCGGGCUUAACCUGGGAAUUGCAUUUCAGACUGGGAGUCUAGAGUACUUUAGGGAGGGGUAGAAUUCCACGUGUAGCGGUGAAAUGCGUAGAGAUGUGGAGGAAUACCGAAGGCGAAGGCAGCCCCUUGGGAAUGUACUGACGCUCAUGUGCGAAAGCGUGGGGAGCAAACAGG